AUGGCUCAGCAAUUAAGAGCACUGGAUACUCUUCCAGAACAUCUGGGUUCGAUUCCCAGU
rnacentral:tRNA from 1 species